UUAGUGCAAGAACAUGGGAUCCACGGAGAAGACGGGAGCAGUUUGCUCCAUACCUAAACAUUCGUAUUGGUUUGACUUUUGGCUUUUCCUGUUGUUUGACAUCGUAUUCUUUCUUGUUAUGCAUUUCAUCGUUCCAUGACGGCAGGCGUGUUAUGGAUCGCCAGGACCAAAGAUUGUUGAUGAACGUCGCUAAGAAACCCGGGAAUGAAGUCUACCUUUGCCCUCUGCUUUCACCAGAUCUGUGGCCAAGAUAACCUGUCAUUCAUUCAUUCACUCGUUCAUUUGUUUAUUAAUUUAUACAUUCAUUCAGUGGAAAUUGUUUACACAUGAAAACGAUUUCCUUUCAUUUA